rnacentral:lncRNA from 1 species
CAUCCUGGCAUCACAGGCCAUCAUCGUUUUCAUUGUGGAGAGAUACAAGCACAAGUUGGAUACACAGGUUUGCUUCUGAGAUGUGGUACACAUUGGCCAAAGCAUGCUCAAAUGAUGAACUAGCUUUGGUUGUGAAUAUGCUGCUGAAAGAACUACAGCUAAACCCAGAUGUCACUGGAAAUUAUACCACACCUCUGGCUGCUGCCAUUGCUUUCUGCAAAUUGUUAUCUAUGCCUCAGUGUUUCGAACUGGCAGUAUGGGUCUACCCCCGACUGUUGAUGUCACUGCUUGUCCAGGUGCACUAUAAUAUCAAGCACCAGAUCACAUGGAAUUUGGGC